GUAAUGCUGAAGAGUCCCAAACUAGGACGAAACAGCUGUCCAGUAC
rfam:Trichobilharzia regenti genome assembly, scaffold: TRE_scaffold0029041